rnacentral:lncRNA from 1 species
ACAUGAGCCGAGAUGACUUCAGGGUCUUGACCGCGGUUGAAAUGGGCAUGAAGAACCAUGAAAUUGUUCCCGGCAGUUUGAUUGCUUCUAUAGCCAGCCUUAAACAUGGUGGCUGUAAUAAAGUUUUAAGAGAAUUAGUGAAACAUAAACUCAUAGCUUGGGAGCGUACCAAAAGUAAGUAUUUUGAGGCACCAUUUGUGAUUUUUCAGGUAAUUGGUUUCCACCAGAGCAAGUGUUCCAAAAGUCAAGAAGUAGAAGUUGCCAGACUAGUAAAGCAUUAGACGAAGAACUGACAGAACACACUUCGGCCAUAUCCUAUUAGUCAAAAUAAUCACAGGGCACACCCAGAUCAAAGGAGGUGAAAAAAGAAUAGUAGUAAGAACAUGUAGGUACUGCAGA